rnacentral:misc_RNA from 1 species
UGCAGCUUCAAAAUUGAAAGGACCAUGCUCAUAUACAAAUCCGUCAAAGCUAGAGCAUCCAGGUCCACCAUUGAGCCAAAGAACAACCGGAUCCUUCAAGGGGUUCCCCUCAGAUUCAACAAAGUAGUAAAAUAGUUUCUUGCCAUGGCUUUCAUCGAUAGUUACAUACCCAGAAUAGUGUUUAGAAGGAAGAGUGCCAGAGAAACCAGGAAUUUGA